rnacentral:rRNA from 1 species
CAGCAGCCGCGGUAAUACAGAGGGUGCGAGCGUUAAUCGGAUUUACUGGGCGUAAAGCGUGCGUAGGCGGCUUCUUAAGUCGGAUGUGAAAUCCCUGAGCUUAACUUAGGAAUUGCAUUCGAUACUGGGAAGCUAGAGUAUGGGAGAGGAUGGUAGAAUUCCAGGUGUAGCGGUGAAAUGCGUAGAGAUCUGGAGGAAUACCGAUGGCGAAGGCAGCCAUCUGGCCUAAUACUGACGCUGAGGUACGAAAGCAUGGGAAGCAAACAGGAUUAGAUACCCCUGUAGUCCCUGUCUCUUAUAA